rnacentral:rRNA from 1 species
CCAGACUCCUACGGGAGGCAGCAGUGGGGGAUAUUGGACAAUGGGGGGAACCCUGAUCCAGCGACGCCGCGUGAGUGAAGAAGUAUCUCGGUAUGUAAAGCUCUAUCAGCAGGGAAGAAGAAAUGACGGUACCUGAGUAAGAAGCCCCGGCUAACUACGUGCCAGCAGCCGCGGUAAUACGUAGGGGGCAAGCGUUAUCCGGAAUUACUGGGUGUAAAGGGAGCGUAGACGGUGAUGUAAGUCUGGAGUGAAAGGCGGGGGCCCAACCCCCGGACUGCUCUGGAAACUGUGAAGCUGGAGUGCAGGAGAGGUAAGCGGAAUUCCUGGUGUAGCGGUGAAAUGCGUAGAUAUCAGGAGGAACACCGGCGGCGAAGGCGGCUUACUGGACUGUAACUGACGUUGAGGCUCGAAGGCGUGGGGAGCAAACAGGAUUAGAUACCCCCGUAUAG